rnacentral:rRNA from 1 species
UGUCCUGGACCCGAAGCGGGGUGAUCUACCCAUGGCCAGUGUGAAGCAGCUGUAAGAGGCUGUGGAGGCGCGAACCCACUUAGGUUGAAAACUGAGGGGAUGAGCUGUGGGUAGGGGUGAAAGGCCAAUCAAACUCCGUGAUAGCUGGUUCUCCCCGAAAUGCAUUUAGGUGCAGCGUCGUGUGUUUCUUGCCGGAGGUAGAGCUACUGGUUGGUUGAGCGGGACUAUCAUCUUAGCGACGUCAGCCAAACUCCGAAUGCCGGUAAGUGAGAGCGCGGCAGUGAGACUGCGGGGGAUAAGCUUCGUUAGUCGAGAGGGAAACAGCCCAGAUCGCCGGUUAAGGCCCCUAAGAGUGUGCUAAGUGGAAAAGGAUGUGGGAUCGCGAAGACAGCCAGGAGGUUGGCUUAGAAGCAGCCAUCCUUGAAAGAGUGCGUAAUAGCUCACUGGUCGAGUGGUUCUGCGCCGACAAUGUAGUGGGGCUCAAGUACACCGCCGAAACCGCGGAACUCAAUCUUUUGGUUGGGUUGGUAGGGGAGCGUCGUGUGAUCGUUGAAGCUGCCGGGUAACCGUGUGGUGGAGGUUAUGCGAGUGAGAAUGCAGGCAUGAGUAGCGAAUGAUAUGUGCGAAACAUAUCCGCCGGAUGACUAAGGGUUCCUGGGUCAAGCUAAUCUUCCCAGGGUGAGUCGGGUCCUAAGGCGAGGCCGACAGGCGUAGUCGAUGGUUAACGGGUUGAUAUUCCCGUACCCGUGUGUGUGCGACCAAUGGUGAAUCAGUGAUACUAACCACCCUGAAGGAUGCUGCAUGCAUUUUGUGUGUGUGGUGUGUGGAUGCGUGGGACCUGAUCUGGUAGUAGCCAAGCGAUGGGGUGACGCAGGAAGGUAGCCAAGCCACUUAUUGGAUUGUGGUGUAAGCGUGUGGCCCGCGGGAUAGGUAAAUCCGUUUCGUGUGUGGGUGAGGCGUGAUGCGUACCCGUUGUGGGGAUGUUGGUGAUCCUAUGCUGUCGAGAAAAGCCUCUAGUGAGUGCAUGUACGGCCCGUACCGUAAACCGACACAGGUGGUCAGGUAGAGAAUACUAAGGCGUUCGGGUGAACUGUGGUUAAGGAAUUCGGCAAAAUGGCCCCGUAACUUCGGGAGAAGGGGUGCCACUGCUGGUGAACGACGUGUUGAGCUGGUGGUGGUCGCAGAGAAUAGAGGGAAGCGACUGUUUACUAAAAACACAGGUCCGUGCGAAGACUUUAAGUCGAUGUAUACGGACUGACGCCUGCCCGGUGCUGGAAGGUUAAGAGGACCUGUUAGACCUUGGUCGAAGCGGAGAAUUUAAGCCCCAGUAAACGGCGGUGGUAACUAUAACCAUCCUAAGGUAGCGAAAUUCCUUGUCGGGUAAGUUCCGACCUGCACGAAUGGCGUAACGACUUCCCUGCUGUCUCAACCACAGGCCCGGUGAAAUUGCAGUACGAGUAAAGAUGCUCGUUACGCGCGGCAGGACGAAAAGACCCCGGGACCUUCACUAUAGCUUGGUAUUGGUGUUCGGUUCGGUUUGUGUAGGAUAGGUGGGAGACUGUGAAGCGGUCACGCUAGUGGUUGUGGAGUCGUUGGUGAAAUACCACUCUGAUCGGAUUGGGCAUCUGAACCUCGGCCCGUGAUCCGGGUUAGGGACAGUGCCUGGUGGGUAGUUUAACUGGGGCGGUUGCCUCCCAAAGUGUAACGGAGGCGCCCAAAGGUUCCCUCAGCCUGGUUGGCAAUCAGGUGUUGAGUGUAAGUGCACAAGGGAGCUUGACUGUGAGACUGACAGGUCGAGCAGGUACGAAAGUAGGGACUAGUGAUCCGGCACCGGCUUGUGGAAGCGGUGUCGCUCAACGGAUAAAAGGUACCCCGGGGAUAACAGGCUGAUCUUCCCCAAGAGUCCAUAUCGACGGGAUGGUUUGGCACCUCGAUGUCGGCUCGUCGCAUCCUGGGGCUGGAGUAGGUCCCAAGGGUUGGGCUGUUCGCCCAUUAAAGCGGCACGCGAGCUGGGUUUAGAACGUCGUGAGACAGUUCGGUCUCUAUCCGCCGUGCGCGUUGAAACUUGAAGAAGGCUGUCCCUAGUACGAGAGGACCGGGACGGACAUACCUCUGGUGGGCCAGUUGUCACGCCCGUGGCAUGGCUGGUUGGCUACGUAUGGGAGGGAUAACCGCUGAAAGCAUCUAAGCGGGAAGCCUGUUCUGAGAUGAGGUUUCUUUUGAGGUUCCCUAUAGAUUAUGGGGUUGAUAGGCCGGAUCUGGAAGUCAUGUGAGUGAUGGAGGUGACCGGUACUAAUUAGCCGAUGUUCAACACAA